rnacentral:rRNA from 1 species
AGUGAACGCUGGCGGUAGGCCUAACACAUGCAAGUCGAACGGAAGCACAGUAAGAGCUUGCUCUUACGGGUGGCGAGUGGCGGACGGGUGAGGAAUACAUCGGAAUCUACUUUUUCGUGGGGGAUAACGUAGGGAAACUUACGCUAAUACCUCAUACGACCUACGGGUGAAAUCAAGGGAUCUUCGGACCUUGCGCGAUUGAAUGAGCCGAUGUCGGAUUAGCUAGUUGGCGGGGUAAAGGCCCACCAAGGCGACGAUCCGUAGCUGGUCUGAGAGGAUGAUCAGCCACACUGGAACUGAGACACGGUCCAGACUCCUACGGGAGGCAGCAGUGGGGAAUAUUGGACAAUGGGCGCAAGCCUGAUCCAGCCACACCGCGUGAGUGAAGAAGGCCUUCGGGUUGUAAAGCCCUUUUGUUAGGAAAGAAAAGCAGCAGGUUAAUCCCCCGCUGUUCUGACGGUACCCAAAGAAUAAGCACCGGCUAACUUCGUG